UCGGGAAUUUUGGGCAAUGGGCGAAAGCCUGACCCAGCAACGCCGCGUGAAGGAUGAAGUAUUUCGGUAUGUAAACUUCGAAAGAAUAGGAAGAAUAAAUGACGGUACUAUUUAUAAGGUCCGGCUAACUACGUGCCAGCAGCCGCGGUAAUACGUAGGGACCAAGCGUUGUUCGGAUUUACUGGGCGUAAAGGGCGCGUAGGCGGCAAUUCAAGUCAUCUGUGAAAUCUCCGGGCUUAACUCGGAACGGUCAGAUGAUACUGCUUUGCUAGAGUGCAGAAGGGGCAAUCGGAAUUCUUGGUGUAGCGGUGAAAUGCGUAGAUAUCAAGAGGAACACCUGAGGUGAAGACGGGUUGCUGGGCUGACACUGACGCUGAGGCGCGAAAGCCAGGGGAGCAAACGGGGAUUAGAUACCCAUGUAGUCCCUGAGCGGGCUGGCAAGGCG
rnacentral:rRNA from 1 species